rnacentral:tRNA from 1 species
GGGAGUGUAGCUCAGUGGUAGAGCAUUCGAUUGCAGAUCGAGAGGUCAGUGGUUCAACUCCGCUUGCUCCCU